GCCCCGGCCGCUGAGUCAGGCCGUUCCCUGCGCUCCCGCGGCCGGUACAUCGCGUCCCCACGCCGGGCGCCUGGCAGCCCGCCCGCCCGCCCGCCCGGUGCGGCUCCGAGCAGGGGCAGGGACCCGGCCCCGGGCGGCCCCUCCGGGCUCCCUGGAUGCGGCUCAUGGGGCUGGCGAUGCCGCGGCCGGGAGGAAAGCCCUUGGGAGCUGCAGGGAGCCGUGAGUCCGAGGAAAGAGAGGGGGCUCACAGCCGGAGGAGGGAUCGCCCCGGCCUGGAUCCAUCUGCUCGCCGCCGGCCAGGCUCCACGACGACACCCAGCAUUCCUGCUGCGGCCUCUCCGGAGCCACCGCUCUCACAUCACACAAGGGGCUUGGGGGCCAGCACGAGGAAGGACAUCACCAGUGAAGGGGGUCUCCGGCUUUUGCUCCCCGGUUCUGGUGGGGGGCAAGGCUUUCCCCCAGACCCCCCGUCCUUUUGGGGCCGGGUGACGGCCGCACGGUGGGCGCAGGGCUGGGGCAGGACAUGUGCGGCCAGCUGGAUGGCGAGGGGGAACAAGCAGUGCCCCUGGCAGCCGCCCCGAGGCCAGCCGGGAUUAUUUAUGGAGCAGAUUUCCUCCAGGUUGUGUUACA